AAAGAGAAAGGGAUGGGUUCCAGAGAUGAGAAGGAAGUGGAAUUGAAAAAAAUUUGGGAACUGAUAAGAUAAAGGUGACAGGACAUGGAAGAUGAACUUGUAAAGAGGCUGAGAAGUGGUCCAACAAAUAGGAAGGGAAGCUUUGACUGACAAGUGCCUCAAACAUUCAGGGAGAGGUUAUCCCCUACUCUAUGAUUCUUGGAUUGUGCUGACUAGAUGCUAUAUCUGCUAUCCAUCUGUUUGCAUCCUGAAUUAAGGUUUAUCCUAUCAUUCCAGCCUAUCGAGAUCUUUUUUAUGUGUAUAUGGUCAUGGAGAAUGUUAGCCAUUAGGUUUUUCCUCUUAGCUUCAUGAUAUCUUAUAAAUUUGGUAAGUAUAUCUUUUAUAUUUUUACCCAAAUUUAUUAAAAAACACUACUGAGUAGAGCAGGACCACGGACAGAGUCCAGUGACAUUUCACUAGGGCUUCUCUUAUUUUUAAGACAAUUCUAGAAUCUUAGAAUGUUGGCAUUAGAAAGGACCUUAGAAGUCAUGUAAUUCAAACCUUUAUUUUACCUAUGAGGAAACUGAGGGUUAGAUUAAGUGGCUUGCCUCAGUUAUAUAUAUCACCGGUAGAACUGUGAUUCCCAUUUUCUCUUGAUUUCAAGGAUAACAAAAUAUGCAUACAACACAAGUUCUAGAAAUUUUCAUAUUCUAAAAUACCUAUAUUUACUCACUAAAAGAUCCAGCUAUUC